AAUAUACUCCUCCGUCCGAAAAUACUUGUCAUCAGAAUGAAUAAAAAAAAUGUAUUUAGACGUAUUUUAGUUCAAGAUACAUCUCUUCUUAUCCAUUUUGAUGACAAGUAUUUUCGGAUGGAGGGAAUGCCAU
rfam:Triticum aestivum genome assembly, contig: Triticum_aestivum_CS42_TGACv1_scaffold_031145_1BL